rnacentral:rRNA from 1 species
UACGAAGGGUGCAAGCGUUAAUCGGAAUUACUGGGCGUAAAGGGUGCGUAGGCGGUUCGUUAAGUCUGUCGUGAAAUCCCCGGGCUCAACCUGGGAAUGGCGAUGGAUACUGGGCAGCCAGAGUGUGUCAGAGGAUGGUGGAAUUCCCGGUGUAGCGGUGAAAUGCGUAGAGAUCGGGAGGAACAUCAGUGGCGAAGGCGGCCAUCUGGGACAACACUGACGCUGAAGCACGAAAGCGUGGGGAGCAAACAGG